AGUAAAAUCAGCUAAAUAAGCUUUUGGGCCCAUACCCCAAACAUGUUGGUUAGAGUCCUUCUUUUACUG
rnacentral:tRNA from 1 species